rnacentral:rRNA from 1 species
UCGUACGAGAACUCUUUAGCUUGCUAAAGAUAGUAAAGUGGCGCACGGGUGAGUAACGCGUGGGUAAUCUACCUCCGAAUCGGGGAUAACCCGCCGAAAGGCGAGCUAAUACCGGAUAAUAUCUUUAACGCUUUGGUUUUAAAGAUCAAAGGUGGUCUCUACAUGUAAGCUACUGUUUGGAGAUGAGCCCGCGUACCAUUAGCUUGUUGGUAGGGUAAUGGCCUACCAAGGCUACGAUGGUUAGCUGGUCUGAGAGGAUGAUCAGCCACACUGGAACUGACACACGGUCCAGACUCCUACGGGAGGCAGCAGUGAGGAAUUUUGCGCAAUGGGGGAAACCCUGACGCAGCAACGCCGCGUGAGUGAUGAAGGCUUUCGGGUCGUAAAGCUCUGUCAAGUGGGAAGAACAUGCUUGAUGCUAAUACCAUCUUGCACUGACGGUACCACUGAAGGAAGCACCGGCUAACUCCGUGCCAGCAGCCGCGGUAAUACGGGGGGUGCAAGCGUUAUUCGGAAU